rnacentral:rRNA from 1 species
GACGAACGCUGGCGGCGUGCUUAACACAUGCAAGUCGAACGAAGUGGCGAACGGGUGAGUAACGCGUAAUCAACCUGCCCUUCAGAGGGGGACAACAGUUGGAAACGACUGCUAAUACCGCAUAAUGUAGGCGGGGUGUGCGACUGAUUAGCUAGUGGGAGGGGUAACGGCCCAACAAGGCGAUGUUCAGUAGCCGGUCUGAGAGGAGGAACGGACAAAUUGGGACGGAGACACGGCCCAGACUCCUACGGGAGGCAGCAGUGGGGAAUCUUCCGCAAUGGACGAAAGUCUGACGGGGCAACGCCGCGUGAGUGAUGACGGCCUUCGGGUUGUAAAGCUCUGUUAAUCGGGACGCGGUACCGGAAUAGAAAGCCACGGCUAACUACGUGCCAGCAGCCGCGGUAAUUC